GUUUUUUAUUUUUAAAGUCCACUGGCCUCUCUCCUCUGGGUGGAGACGAGAGGUGAGACUCUUGCUUUGGAAAUGACUGCUCAUGGUCCUGAGGUCCGUAGCCCUGUGUUCUGAUCCUGGAUCCAGUGGAUUGCUAUUGCUACAAUUUUAUUUCCGGUAAGUAGUCAUUAAUAAUCAGUUCCACUUGCUGGUAGUUAUCAGGUCCCAGGCACGGUGCUAAAAGCUUAGGGUACCUUCUCUCAUUUUUCCCUAUUUAUUUCCCUACUCACCUUACAGAUCUUAACUGUCCUUCCUUGGGGACGCUUUCCUCGACUUGGGCGCCUCCGCUUCCCAACCCCUCAAUUACAUGGUCUAAUUAUACCACAGACCCUCCCGUUGAGGCACUUACCUCAGUUGACAUUUUUACUUUAUUCGUGCCACUUUUUAAUUCACGUGUGUCUCCUACAAGAGACCUCAGUGCCGUGGGCCCACUGCCAUGUCCCACACCAAGCACAGUGCCUGACAUUCAAUAAUAUACUUACUGAAUGAAAGAGGGACCGAAUAGCCUAUCAGAACCCUGCAGUGUGGGUUUACACUGAGGCCCAGAGAGGUUAAAUGCUGGCUCUGGGUCACACAGCUAGUAAAGGCGAUGGUAGGAUCAAGCACGGGUCCAUCUGGUUCCAAGACCAGAUCUUCACCAUUGCCCCCCGAUGCCUUCCAGUGUCCAAAUGCGGUCUUCUACUGCCCUGUCCUUCCUGUGAAAAGCAGAGAGGUCCUGCCCCUUUCCGUGGCCCUCUUGUUUAACUUCUGCCCCCUCACCUCAGGUCCUGGCAUUCAAUCUCGUGACCCCUCCAGCUGUGAAUCUUGCCCUUUGCAAAUGCCUUCCAUACCGUUCAGCGGUCUCUUGGCUGCCGGCACUGGUCUCCAUCUGCUGAGAUGGCGUGGUGCCCGCUCACAAGAUGGCACGCUAUUUUUACCCGGCUUAGGUGCCAAGCCAGCCAGAUGUUUUUUAGCAGUGCAGGGAAGCUGAGCAUUGCUGGGGUGUGGAGGGAAGCUUCCAAAUGUCAGCUCCUUGGGGGGGCUCCGGGACAAGCAGAGGAAAGGCUCUGCCUGGAAGUGGGCAUCCCGAAGAGAUUUCUAGGUGCUGGCACCUGUGUGGGGCUCAGGCCGCACACUGUGCACUGGCUGCUGGUUAUGGGCACCUGCCGGGCUGUGAUGGGUCUGUUCCAGGCAGGAAAUGCCCUGGGUCAUCCUUCCCCAGAGGGCUUGUGCUUCAUCCCCCGUGCUGAGAUCCAGGCAGUGAUGCCUGGGGACCUAUCCUUCUGGGGCUUCACUGAAUGCUUGGAAAAUUCUAGGUGUGGCUGGCUGCGUGAGGAACCCGCCAGAUCAGGCUGAGUCCAGGCAGUCGUUAGGAUCAGCUUUCCCUCAGAACAGAUGGAGCCAGAGAGCUUGUGUGCUUCAUGUGAGCCCUGGCAGCUGCCGGAAACAGUUUCUGGUCUUGAAGCUCACCUCAGUGAGAGCAGCAUGGGCUGAGAACACGGGAGCUGACUUCAGGUGUAACGGGAGGGCUGCAGGCUAGACCGCAAAGGAACAGCUCCCCGCUGACAGAAUGCUUGGAGAGACCCCAGGGAGAGCACCGUGGCCACCACAGCACCAGCCUCCAGGUUACCCCAAGCACAUGAGGCUGGAGAAGGUUCUGGAGUGUCUUCAAGUGGUUCAAGGCUUCUGCCAGAAACAAUUGGGAAAACAGAAUGCAGCCCAGGAUCGAAAGAAUCUAUCCAUUCCUCUGGAAUUCUCCAUCUGUCCGGCUGGGCCCCAUAUUAACAUUUGAGUAAUUCCCUAAUGUGAAGUUGCCAGGCUUUAAAAAUAGUGCAGGCA